rnacentral:lncRNA from 1 species
AUUGCAGUGGGUUUUCAUAUGGGCAACAAAAUGACAAAAUAUUCUGCAGUCUAGACUUUUCACUGAUCAUACCACAGAUAAGCUCAAAAGGAAGGCAAUGAAAAGAACUGGUUGGCUUAUUACCUGGAGCUUAUAUUCAAAGGUGCUUAUUUUCUUAGGAUAACUCAAAAUAACUGUCCCUAAGAAACUUGGCCAAUAGAACUAAUACACAAAUAACAUGCCAUGAUGAUUGCAAUGGAGGCCAAGUUCUUUUGCCAGAUUCUCCCAGAAUCUGAACCCUACCCAGAUUCUCCCUGAAUCUUUGAGCCCCAUUUGUUUUACAAUCCUAUCUAGUUAGGGUAUAAUUAUGUAGGAUUGUAAAACAAAAGUGGGUCAAAGAUUCUAGGAGAAGCUAGAGAGGGGCAGAUUCUGUCACGACCGGUUUUUCAAUAAAAUACUUAUUGAGAAAUCGAUCUCUUGAUUCCAGUAUAGGAAGAGUCAUCCUUACUGGUAGACAAAUACUUGAAUACAGAAGACCAGUAGCAUCAAAUAUAUUACAGGGUUGAGCUGAGGAUGCUCAACAAUUUAUUACAAACACGCCAAUAUUGUACAUAAGGGCGGUUAUGACACAGGGGUGUGGUGACAUGCUACUAGCUCGAGAUAAAAGUGGUGGUGGAUAACUUGACUCCUAAACUGGCAGCUCAUCGAGUGUCGAGGUGAGGCUCGAUGAAUUUAUUUCUGGGGUAGCGGAAGCGGAUAUAAUACAGUGACCAAAUCCAAGAUCGCACGGGACUGACUGGGACUCCUCUAGGCGUCGGACUCGCUGUCGAACUCUUCAUCCAUGAGAUCGCCUUCAUCAACAUCUGGCCAAAUCAACAAGCCAGGUGAGUACUUUGAAAGUACUCGCAAGACAGUUCGAACAAAAGAUAUAACAAAUGCAUGCAUGAAUGCGUCGUGAACAAAAUAAUAAUGCUCAUACCAUUAAUAAAAAUUUGUACGACAUGAUAAGUAAAACAAAUAACUGAAAACCGAUCGGGUGUCUGGAGCGACGCCUCGAAAGGUAAACAAAUAAAAAUCAUGCCGCAGUCGGGCGUCUAAGCGACACCACAUAAAGCGCUUAUAUUGAAAAGUAAAAGACAAGCGUGCCAUAGUCGGACGUCUGGGCGACAUCACAGAGAGGGCUUUUAUUGAAAAUAAAUAACAAGCGUGCCACCGUCGGACGUCUAAGCGACAUCACAGAAAGGGCUUUUAUUGAAAAUAAAUAACAAGCGUGCCACAGUUGGACGUCUAAGCGACAUCACAGAAAGGGCUUUUGUUGAAAAUAAAUAACAAGCGUGCCACAGUCGGAUGUCUAAGCGACAUCACAGAAAGGGCAUUUAUUGAAAAUAAAUAACAAGCAUGCCACAGUCGGACGUCUAAGCGACAUCACAGAAAGGGCUUUUAUCAAAAGUAAAUAACAAGCAUGCCACAGUUGGACGUCUAAGCGACAUCACAGAAAGGGCUUUAUGUCUGAGCGACAUAACAGAAAGGGCUUAUAUCAAAAGUAAAUAACAGGUUAGUCCAUCCAUAAGAAUGAACUUUUAACCGGACUUAACACUCAUGUAGUUCACCGGAGUUUUGUCACUGAGACUGACAUUUGACCAGAUAAGAUGAACACAGUACAUGGACAUGUACAAGAUGGUUCAAGGGAUUUUUGACUCUGCAGAGUUUGUACUAACUGCCCACAGCCAACGGAUUUUCGUAGUCACGAAUGACUAGUUCCGUUUACGGUAUUUCNNNNNNNNNNNNNNNNNNNNNNNNNNNNNNNNNNNNNNNNNNNNNNNNNNNNNNNNNNNNNNNNNNNNNNNNNNNNNNNNNNNNNNNNNNNNNNNNNNNNACACAUACAGCACAACACAAGCACAACAUAGAUGCUCUGCUCCCGAUUUCUCAAUAGUAUGAUGAUGCUUUGCUCAACCACUCUAACUUUUUUCACUGGGCGUCACUUUGCAUAUGCUUGCUCAUGUAGCGACCUGAUUGACAGUUGUUUGUGUUGCUUUGUUCAACUACUGUCCAGAUACAACAAGUUAGUCUUGAUUUGUACAAGAGCUAAGUAGAAUUGUCUCAACUCUUUUUUUGUGGUUGCUUGCCACACAUCAGUUUACUGCAAUAGCUUAAUACAAUAGUGUGGCAGUUUACUACUAUGUGGGAUUAAAUGGGGUUAUUUGGGCAAGCAGACGCAACAAGGUUGAUUGUAGGCUGCCCACAAACACCCGCAUAACACAUGCUUGCUGGUGUGGGUAUUCCUCCAUUAGUCCCACUUGCAGCCUGAAUGUGUAUCUCUAAGGAAGUGAAUGGUCAUGAUAGUCUUCCCGAACUAUGGCCAUGUGUAUCCGAAAUAUUGUUCAUGCAAAUUAUGUUAUCAUUGUCGUUGAAUAAUAAUAUUGAUCAUCUUAUAGGUUGCAUCCAAAGUAGCUUUAAAGACUUUAACAUAUCCAAACCAGCGAAAUGCUGCAUAUGCUACUAUUCGGAGUAUUUUUCUAGAAACUAAGGUUGGUGAUAUUUAAUUAGGUGCCGAUUCUGCACUUGUGUACUUAGAUGAACCUGUUUUGGAUAAUGAGGAGUUAGUAAGGUAAGUUUUUGAUUGCAAGAGAAUUGAUGAUGCUUUUACUUUAGGAUACUUAAUUGCCCGACCUUCAGCUUUUAAAGUUGGAGUCUUUUCUUCCAUAUCUCAAAAUUAUAUUUGUGUAUAUUUAAUCUAUAAGGUCUAUUUAUCUUUUGCAGAUUCGAAAGAAGCAUAAUUGAGGUGGAGCUGAAUUCUUCGGUUGGAUGAAACAAAUAUAAUUGGAGGAUUUUACCUAGCAAUACCCAUACUUUACAUUGAUAGAUUGAAAAAUGUAAUACCAUUUAGAACAUUUUUUUCUUUGGUCGAGUUGAUGCAAAUGCUAUGGUGUAAUAUUGUCCAUAGACGUGUCCUCUAUUGUAAAAUUGAUAUGAAUGAUAUGUUGUUCAACCAAUAACAUUGGUAUUUAUUUAUUGUAAUGCAUAUGUAUCCUACACUCAUGUAUAUUCAUAAUAAAUACCUUGAUAUUUUCAA